GAUGAACGCUAGCGACAGGCCUAACACAUGCAAGUCGAGGGGCAUCGGGACGUAGCAAUACGUUGCCGGCGACCGGCGGAUGGGUGAGUAACGCGUAUGCAACCUACCCGUAGCAGGGGGAUAGCCCGUUGAAAGACGGAUUAAUACCCCGUAACACAGGGGCUCCGCAUGGAGAUUAUUGUUAAAGGGUCAUUUCUUUAGAGGUGGUCCGGCUGCGGAUGGGCAUGCGUUCCAUUAGGUAGUUGGUGUAGGUAACGGCUCACCAAGCCGACGAUGGAUAGGGGAACUGAGAGGUUGGUCCCCCACACUGGUACUGAGACACGGACCAGACUCCUACGGGAGGCAGCAGUGAGGAAUCUUGGUCAAUGGACGCAAGUCUGAACCAGCCAUGUCGCGUGAAGGAGGACGGCCCUAAGGGUUGUAAACUUCUUUUGCAGCGGAAUAAAGUUUGCCACGAGUUGGCGAUUUGCAAGUACGCUGCGAAUAAGGAUCGGCUAACUCCGUG
rnacentral:rRNA from 1 species